rnacentral:lncRNA from 1 species
CUGGAUUAAAUGAGUAGAGAUAUUAAAGCUUCCUAUUAUCUAUCAGCUUUUUCAUAGCAUUUGCUCUAUUUACGGUGCAAAUUGUACCAGUAUGAACCUUGCAUAUGGUAUGUUGAAACCAAAGUGGGUUGUUUUGUGUUAACACAGGAAGUGUAUUAUAAGAUCAUGAUCUCUGAACCCAGAUUGCCUAAACUCAAGCCUCUGCUCUGCUCCUUAUUAGUUGUUUAACCCUGGGUAAAAUAUUUAAAAUCUCUGGGUGUCAGUUUCCUCAUAUGUAAAAUGAUAACAGUACCUACUCCACAGGGUUUAGUGAGAAUUAAAUGAGUUAAUAUACAUAAAGCACUGAGCAUAGUGCCCAGACCUAGCAAUGUCCAAUGUCAGUUAUUACUAGCAGUCGGUGUGAUAGCUUUUCUUACUACCUUUUUUGAUCUACAUAAAAUCUCUCUCUAAUUUUGGAAGAGUUUACCUCUUUUUCAAGCCAAAGCAUUGCUGUUAUUGUUUUCAGAGCACUUAAAUCCAUCUUUCUGUGAGCAAUCAUUUAAUAUUAUUGUCCAGAAUUUUCCUUACAGUGAGGAAACUACCCUUUGGUUGCAAGUCGCUGCUGACUCUGUGCCCUCUCCUGCCCAAACAGGAAUUGAGCACACUCUGCUCUCCUCUGAAGUUCCACUGUCCACUCAGAAUCCAGACUAAAAGAGACCUCACGCUGCAGUGAGAGUGAAGCUCUCCACCAUCUUCCUCUAUGGGGAAGGGUGGUGGUGAGUCAGGGAAUGUCAAAGGCACAUCAGCACCUCACUCCGAAAUGAUCCCCACCAAAAUCACUGGCCUUUUUAGCUCUCUCAUGAAGGUUGGAGGUCAUAACACCCUCUUUCCAUAGAGGGUCCUGCCACACACCAAGGAGGAACGAAUGCUGCGCAGUGAGGCCAAGAGGAGUCUAGACAGACAGGCCUUGCUGGGUUUCCCAACUCUAUUGGCAGUAGAUCAUUCUCUUUUUGCCCAAUCGUAUUUGUACAUGGCUGUCCAUAUUUUGUCGACCCUAAGCAUUAAAAUGUACAAUUCCUCUGUAUCUUUGGAUCUUCAUUCUGAAGGCUCCUGUGUUAUGUAAAACUAUGAUCAAUUAAAUUUGUAUGCCUUUUCUGUUAUUAAUUUGACUCUUGUCAGUGACUUUUAACACAUCUUCAGAAGUUGAAGGUAAAGCUUUCC